GAGAGUUUGAUCCUGGCUCAGGACGAACGCUGGCGGCGUGCCUAAUACAUGCAAGUCGAACGCUUCUUUUUCCACCGGAGCUUGCUCCACCGGAAAAAGAGGAGUGGCGAACGGGUGAGUAACACGUGGGUAACCUGCCCAUCAGAAGGGGAUAACACUUGGAAACAGGUGCUAAUACCGUAUAACAAUCGAAACCGCAUGGUUUUGAUUUGAAAGGCGCUUUCGGGUGUCGCUGAUGGAUGGACCCGCGGUGCAUUAGCUAGUUGGUGAGGUAACGGCUCACCAAGGCGACGAUGCAUAGCCGACCUGAGAGGGUGAUCGGCCACAUUGGGACUGAGACACGGCCCAAACUCCUACGGGAGGCAGCAGUAGGGAAUCUUCGGCAAUGGACGAAAGUCUGACCGAGCAACGCCGCGUGAGUGAAGAAGGUUUUCGGAUCGUAAAACUCUGUUGUUAGAGAAGAACAAGGAUGAGAGUAACUGUUCAUCCCUUGACGGUAUCUAACCAGAAAGCCACGGCUAACUACGUGCCAGCAGCCGCGGUAAUACGUAGGUGGCAAGCGUUGUCCGGAUUUAUUGGGCGUAAAGCGAGCGCAGGCGGUUU
rnacentral:rRNA from 1 species